UUUUAUGUUAGUGAGAAUGAUUAGGUUUCUUUACAAGUGUGGUGGUUUUACCGUGCUAGGCAGCUGAACACCACCACGACUCUCUCACUCCCCCUCCUUAGAUGAGGAGGGGAAGAAGUAAAGGAAAGAACGACUCACGGGUUGAGAUGAGGAUAAUUUGAUUAAAGAGAAAAUAUAUAUUAUUAAGGAAAUAUUAUUAGUUAAACAAUUCAACUAAAGGGAAAA